UUGCUUCAGAAACACAGAUACUAAAACUUUAACAAUACAGAGAAGAUGGGCAUGGCCCCUGCACAAGGAUGGCAUGCACAUUCAUGAAGUACUCAACAUUUUU